rnacentral:lncRNA from 1 species
UGUGUUAAGUGUAUACAAAAUUUUGUGAUAAUUUAACGGUGUGGUUUAGAGAUAUCUAGUUUUUAGCACAAGAGGAUUUUAGAAGGUGGAAGUUUGAGGUUGGGUAGGGUUUUUAUAAUAUCUAAAGAUCUAUUAGUCGGAUUAAGGUGAAAAUUGGCAUGGUAUUGGAGGACUUAAAGAUCAAGCUAUACACCAAUUUUGAGAUAAGGUUAACGAUUGAAGAAGGAAAAAUCAUUGCUGGGAUUUUUGCUUCACUUUUCAAGUUGGCGACCGAGUGACAUUGGUACAAUUUUUGGAGGUUUUAUCACAAUGUGUAAGUUGAAUUGGGCUAAAAAUUCAUGAGCAAUUAAAAGACUUGCAUUGAUAAUUGCAUGCAAAAUUCUACAUCAAGUGGACGAUCAGAUUGGAUGUUACAACUUGUUAAAGCUCAUUGAUGAGGAUUGGGAUGUACAAGAAAAAUCUAAAUUGCUUAAAUAUGAAAGUAACAAGGUAAUUGGAAUUUAUGUAUAGUUAAGACUACUAAAAAGAGUGUUUUAAGCAUUUUUUAAUUGAAAUUCAGAUUAUAUUCUUCUCGCAUAGGUGAAACCUAUUAGGAUUACUUGGCUACUUAUGAAACAUAAUCUCACCUUCUACAACUAAGUGCCCGGUGCAUUCCUGAGCAAAACAAUACGUAAUGCGAUAUAAGUGGUGAAUCCGACGUGAGAGUUUGGGGUGGAAGGUAUUGGAUUAUAUUUGUGGUUAUUUGAAAUUGAUGGCGCAAGAAGGUAAGAAGGUUGAAUUUGGACUUUUUAUGGAGCUUUAGGUGGAGCUUAAAGUGGAUUUUCAAGCACAACUUCAAGUGGUAUUUUCACAUGUAUUGAAGGAUGAAUAUUUUUUGGAGGAAACUUGAUCAAGUUACCAAGAAAUCAUUCGUAGAAUGGAUUGAGCGACCUACCAAAAAUUUUCAAGCUACAGAAUUAUUAAGAGAAUUUGAAAGGUAAUUUUCUUGAUUAUCAAAAAUGGAAAAGUUAACAUUGGGACCAAAUAAGGUUGAAUUGUUUCUUCAAGCUGCUAAUGAAGAAUUACAAGAGAAGUUAGAGGUUCUUCUUGAAGAUAAAGAAGAAGAGGAAGGAUUUACACCAAAGUAGAGAGCUAUUGAAGAUGCUAUUAGAUUACUUACAAAAAUAGAAAAGAAAAAUGAUAGGUUUAGUACUCAAAGAGUAGUACAAGUAAUAAAGAUUCCAAUGCCUACUAGGAGAUUGACUAUGCCUAUUGUCCAACCUCCAUUAGCUAUACCAAAGAAAGAAGAUAUGGGACUUGAGGAGAUUGUACGAUCGAUGCGAGAUCUUCAAAUCAAACUUGCGAGGCUUGAAGAAAAGACUUCUACAAUAAGUUCAAAGGUUCCUUUUAAACAAGGAUAUAUACAAAGAUAUAUUUGGUGUGAUGAUGAUUUUCAUUCUCAAAAAGAUUGUGGUGAAUUUAAUGAGAUGGUACAACAAGGCAUUGUUUAUUGGAAAGAUGGGAAGAUUGCAUUGAAAGAUACUAGUGAUCUUCUCCAAACCAACUUUGGUAAAAGAGGAAUGAAAGCAUUGGUUAAAGAUUAUCUGUCAACAGAUGGAAUUGCGGCAAUAGAAGCUUCAAGUUAUGGAACUAGGGUAGAUAAUAAUGGCAAAUAAAAUUUUAUUAAAAAUUUUCAACUAAGUGGACUAUGAUCUUCUGCUAUUUCUACAAUGUAAACAAAGAAGAUGCUAUGGAAAGCUUUAUUAAGAACUGCUACAACAAUUCGUGGUGCUAUAGAUUGACAAGAUCUUGUAGAAGCUUUGUCAGUACAUGCAUAUAUUGCUAAAAGUGAAUAUGAAGCUUUAAUGGAAGAAAAGAGGAGAAGAAAUUUUGAUGAUUAAAGAGAAGAAAAUUCUUCUAAAAGACAAACUCGUGCAUUGGCUUCAUAAGAAUUGCCCACAAAAGAUACUUCAAUAAUAUCGGAAGAAAAAGCAAAGGAGAUGAAAGAUAAAGGUAAAUUGACAACUUAUAAACUACUCUCUGAUAUUGAAGCAGCAACAAAUUUAAAGGGAGUGCUUGAGGAACGUGUGCUCAAUGCUAAGGUUGAAUUUACAUUGAAAGAAAUUUUAAGAAUUGUCAAGAAAGAAUUUCAUGAUGUCAUUAUUGAUAUUAUUAAACAAAAGAGGCAAUUAAUGGGAGAAGCUAGAUUAAAUCAUGAUGUUGAUGCACACAUAUAUAAAAGUGAAGAAGAUGUAUUCGAUAAUUAUUACAAACAAUCAACAAGUAAAGGGAGGUGUCAUAAUCAAAGGGUAUGUUUUGAUGAUCAAGGUAAUAAAGAUAGAGAGGUUUGAAGUCAUUAUACUCAAAAGCAUUGGGUUAAAACAACAAUAGAGGCAUUAGUAGAGAUUGGAGAUAUGGAUGAAUCGAUUGUUGCUUUGAUUGACUAUAGUUCAGAGAUAAAUCUUAUGUCUAAAGAUCUUUAUAUGAAGCAAAGGUGGCCAAUUGAUAUAGAGCAUGGAUGGAUAAUACAUGUAGCUAAUAAUAUAUAUGAGGAGUUAUAUGGUGCUUGUCCGGAUGUGAAAAUUUGGAUUGGUAAUGUUACAAUGGAGCAGAAUUUUUUUAUUCAAGAUGCAACAUCUUAUCCUCUUAUUUUGGGACAACCAUAUAUUAUUAUAAUUCGGAUGGAAACAAAGGUACUUGCUGAUGGUUCAGCUUAUGCAUGAAUUCGUAGUGAGGAUGGAAGGAGGGCAGUACAGUUUUUGACUGUGCCUCCAAAUCAUGAGCGGAAUCGAGACAAAUUGAGAGAAAAUCCAUUGCCAAGGAUUGUUGAAGAAUUCAAGGAUUUUUUGGAGGUACCACUAUAAAGCGAGAUUAUAGAGGUACAAAAAGAGAGAUAUUCUUACAAGAUGUAGGUGCCUUUAAUGGAGGAUUUAUUAGUAUUUUUGAAAAUGGAAGCAUUAUGCAUAAGAAGAUUGAUGACUUAAAAAGAAAAGAAAGAAAGGAAUUAAGUACUAUUGAAAGAGAAUUGUAUAGGUUAGGAAUAUUAUAAGAUAAUGAAAAGAUUACUGGUAUUUAUGAAGAAAAUGGAGUGGAAGAUCUUUUGGAAUUGAUUGCAUCUAUUGAAUUAGGUAAUGAUGAUAAAGUUAUACCAAUUCAUUUAAGAGAAGUUUAUGAUAUGAUUAAAUCUUUUCAAGCACUGGAGAUUAUAGUUGAGACAAAAUAUAAGACAAUAGAUAAGAAAGUUAAACUGGUUGCCAGACCUUUGCUUAAAGAUUCUAAAAUACAAAUGGGAGAAGCAUCAAGAGAAAGGAGCUUGAAAAAUCAAAAGAAUAUUAGUCACAAGUUUACUAAAGAAACUUUUGAAGAAUUAAAUAUUGAUUCUGAUGGUUCUUUAUUACCAAAAGAAAUUAUCUACUUCAAAGAGAUGUUGGCAAAAUAAGGUAGAUCAUUUGCCUUUGAAUCUUAUGAAAUUGGAUAUGUGGAUCCAAAUAUUGUAAUACCUAUGGUAAUUUUUACUGUACUACAUGUACCUUGGAAUCUAAGACCAAUUUCAAUACCAAAGGCACAUUUACUAAGCUUGAUAGAAUUAUUAAAAGAAAAGAUAAAGAUGAAGAUUUUGGAGCCCUCUUUUGCACCAUAUUCUAGUCGAUGGUUUACAGUGCCUAAGAAAAAUGGGUCAUUACGUUUUAUUUAAGAUAUGCAACCAGUGAAUGCAGUAACUAUCAAGAAUGUAGGAAUUGGACCUAUAGUAGAUGAAUUUACUGAGGUAUUUGUAGGAAAGGCAAUCUAUUCAAUAGGUGAUUUAUAUUCGGACUAUGACCAAUUUCAACUUCUAGAAGGAAGUAGAGAUAUGACAAUGAUGAGAACACCACUUCAAUUAGUUCCAAUGUGUAUUCUUUUUCAAGGCGCAACCAACUUAAUUGUACAUAUGAUGAACAAGAUGAAUAAGGUAUUGAGAAAUUUUAUUCGAGAGAAGACUAUGCCUUUUCUAGAUGAUGUUUUUAUAAAGGGAUGCAAAGAAGAAGACAAGAAUGAAACUUUAGAUAAGAACAGGUGUCGCAAGUAUGUUGCUGAUUAUAUACAAGAUUAUAAAAAAAUAUUGACUCGGCUUGGAGAAGUUCAUCUUACAUUAUUGGGUACAAAAUCUACAUUUGGAAUACAAGAGAUUGUGAUUAUUGGACAUUUGUGUAGAUUUUAUGGAAAAAAAUCAGAUCCAACUAAGGUUGAUGCGAUUGGAAGAAUGAAAGAAGAUUGUAAUUCUUUAACAAAUGUUCGUAGGUUUUUAGGUGCAUGUGUAUUUUAUCGUAUUUAGAUUCCUCAUUAUGUACAUAUAGUAGAUCUAUUAUAUGAACUAUUAUGCAAGGGCUAUCGAUUUAAAUGAGAAGAAAAGCAUAUUAAAGUAGUACAAAGAUUGAAGAAAUUAUUGAUAUCGCCUCCAGUGUUGAGAAAAAUUGAUUAUAAGUACAAUAGACUAGUCAUUCUUACUGUGGAUACUAGUCCAAUUUCCAUUGAACGGGCUAUUGUCACAGACACAGAAAUACAGACUCGAGAUCUAACAAGAAGUUCAAGAAGAACUGGCAAGAAUUAGAUUAAUCAGAUGAGAACAACACUAGAGAGGUGAGCUAGAGCUCCAAGAGAUGUGUUGUCGAGAUUGAAGAACUCUUCAACCUUGAUUCCAAUAUAUACUCCUAUUUAGGAAGCUUCUCAAGUAACUUCUACCAACAAGGAAGCUUCUAGAAGGUUCCAGAGACUUGCUUCUAGAAGGUUCUAGAAACUUAUCUCUAGAAGGUUCUAAGGAUUAUGUUCCUAACAUCACCCCUUCUUUUAGCUUCGAGGUCUCUGAGAAGCAAUGUUAUUGAUCAGUACCAACGCAAGAAAAUGAAGAUCUGUCGCAUAACGUCUGCUAUGAACUCCAACUGUUGUUCAUGAGGCAAGUGGUUCGUCGGCCAUUGAAGCCAACGGUAGUGGCCCACUCCUUCAACUUCUGACCAAGCAUGAACUUCCAUGUCCUCAUUAUGAAAUUAUCCUACAAACACGCCUCCUGGCUAACCAUCGUAAGUAGGCUCGAACUCAAAUAUAAUUACCAGUGAUCGGUUACUCGGUAUCCUCGGUCGUCAUCAUGGUAUAGGCGGUUCUUCAUCUUGGGAUCGCCUUCGUGAGCUAGUCAGUUGAGAUAAUCUGACUGGCAUAGUAUCUAUCUCUUAGCUAUCCAUAUCAGAAGACCAAACUAUGGCUACUGAAAAAUUCUAUUUUAUCUUGGAGAAAAUAACUACAUCAACUACGAAUUUUGGUGGUGCUCUCCCCCUUCCUUAUAUUCUUGGGUGAGCAAGCUUCAGAAAGAAGCUAUCGUCAAACCGGCUUAGGUUUAUGAGGAUGUUGUUGAUGAAACUCCUGUACCUUUUGCGGCGUAUUGGCGAGAUUUUCAGCUGGCUUCCACGUUCACUCAUUAAUAUCGUAGCCGCACCAAUGAACAAGAUACUCUAACUUGCCCCUCCUUCACCAUGAAUCCAGUACCUUUUCAACCUCGUAUUCCUUGUGGUUCUCGAUCUCAAUAUUAGGUGGUAGACAUUGUACUCUUCCACGAAAAGAUGACUCUCGAUAAGGUUCUAACUGAGAAACAUGAAAGACUGGAUGUACCUUCAUAAAAGCCGGUAAUUCCAAACGAUACGCCACUGGAUUGAUUUGCUUCUAGAUGAUAAAUGGUCCCAAUCUUCGAUAGUCCAACUUAUUAUAUGGUCGCUUGGUCUUGAUAUUUUUUCGAAGAAGCCAUGCUUUAUCUCCAAUGUUGAAAGUAGGUACUUGAUUCUGAAAUCUAUCUGUUGAUGCUUUGUAGGAUUCUUCAGCCGAUUGUAAUUGAAGCUUCAACAUAUUUUGAAGCUCUGAUAGUUAUUUCACAAAUCGUUCAGCUGCUGGAUUGUUAUUUGUUGACGGACUCAAUAAAUCAAGCUUUGGAUGAUACCUAUAGUUGGAAAAGAAUGGUGUGUAUUGAGUCGACGCAUGGAGGAUGUUGUUAUAUACAAACUCGCCUAGCGGCAGAUAUGUGGUCCAAUCGUCUUACUAAUAGUUGAUGCUGCAUCGUAAGUAUUGUUCCAAGACUUGAUUCACCCGUUCCGUUUGGCCGUCAGUUUGAGGAUGAAAAGUCAAAGAAAGCUUAAUAUCCACCUUCAGUAUCUCAAAGAGAGAUCUCCAAAACUUUGAUACAAACUGGGUUCCUCGAUUUGAUAUGAUAUCAUCUGGUAGUCCAUGAUAUCGAUACACAUUAUCGAGAAAGAGCCUUGCUAUGACUUCACUGGACGAUGUCUUCUUGCAAGGAACAAAGUGUGUCAUCUUUGUAAGCCGAUCUACUACGACAAAGAUGUUGUCAAAUAAGUUCGAUGAUCGAAGGUCCAUGAUGAAGUCCAUGGAAACUGAAGACCAUGGUCGACGUGGAAUCGGCAAUGGUUGUAGGAGUCCAUAAGGGUGAUGUCGAGGAUUCUUGGAUCUUGAACAGAUAUCGCACGAGAGGACAAAAUCUUUCACAUCCUUCCACAUUUGGGGCCACCAAAAAUCUCGAGAAAUAAGCUCCAUGGUCUUGUUGAAUCCAAAAUGUCCCGCAGCUGGAAAAUCAUGGCAAGAUUAAAGAACUCCAAGUCGUGCUGGUCCUUUUGGAAUAUACAACCGCUCCUCAAAGUAUAAAAGAUCUCCCUCCACCUUGAAUUUGUCAUCAUUGGCACGCUCCUUGAUAUCAAUGGCUACUGAAUCUUUAAUGGUCGUGGCAUGUAUCUGAUUCAAGAAGUCAGCAUCAAUUGGCACAAAAAUAGCGCAAAGCCGAAAUUGCUCUGGCUUCAACAAUGUCGUACAUUGUUGAUCAAACCCUACUUCUCCAACCUUUGGUACAAGAUAUAAUCUCCUCGAUAAGGCAUCAGAUAGUUCUUGCUGCUUUCCAGGUCGAUAAGUGAUAACAAAAUCAAACCUAGAUAGCAACAUACUCCACCGAGCUUGACAUCAAUUUAGAACUCGAGCCGACAUGAAAUACUCCAAAUUCUUGUGAUCUGUGUAUACGGUCAGUGGGUGUACAGCUCCUUCAAGAAAAUGACGCCAUUCUUGGAAAGAAUCCACUAUAGCAAGAAGUUCCUUAUCAUGGAUCUCAUAAUUGAUUUUAGCAGCAGAGAACUUUUGAGAAUAGAAUGCAACCGGAUGGAGCUUCUUGUCUUCUCCCAUUUAUGAAAGUACAGCUCUCAAAGCAAAAUCCGAAGCAUCAAUUUCUAAAUAAAAGGCCUUUGUAAAAUCUGGAUGUACCAAGAUUGGAGCCGUAGUAAAUGCGGUCUUCACAUCUUGAAACGCCUUCUUUGCUAGAGGUCCCCAUUCUAGCUUAUCUUUGGAUGUCAAUCAAGUGAGAGGAGCAGCAACUUGACAGUAAUUCUUGAUAAAGAUCCGAUAGAAGUUGGCAAAGCCAAGAAAGCAUUAUACAUCUCUCACCGUCUUUGGAACCUCCUAGGACACGAUUGCUUCCACCUUCUUGGGGUCCAUCUUCAAGCCUUCCGUAGUCGCAACGAACCCCAAAAAUUCCAUCUCUAUUUAGUGAAAUAAACACUUCGCCAACUUGGCAUAUAGUCCUCACUCGUGUAGUUUCUCCAAGACCAAAUGAACGUGCUUUUCAUGCUCUUCCUCAUUUUUGGAGAAUAUCAAAAUAUCAUCCAAAUAGAUGACAAUAAAAUCAUCAAGGUACUCUCCGAAAAUGUCAUUCAUCAUAUGUUGAAAGACCACUGGAGCAUUGGUAAGACCAAAGGGCAUGACAUUAUACUCAAAAUGGCCAUACCUUGUAUAGAACGUUGUCUUCCACUCAUCUCCUUCUUUGAUUCGUACGAGGUUGUAAGCUCCCGUUAGAUCAAUUUUUGUAAAGAUCCUUGCAUGUCCAAAUUGUUCUAAGAGACCAAAAAUCAAGGGUAACGGGUAACGAUUCUUCUUUGUUACCUUAUUGAGGCCUCGAUAGUCCACGCACAUCCGUAAUGAGCCAUCUUUCUUCUUCACAAAUAAGAUGGGUGCUCCAACUGACGAUUUUGAAUGACGGAUGAAGUUCUUGGUUAGAUUCUCGUCAAUGUACUUCCGCAACUCCUCUAACUCUGUCUGCGAUAGAUUGUAGAUUGGGCCAAAAGGCGGUUGUGCUCCUUCCUGUAAGUCUAUGGCGCAAUCAUAUGGUCUGUGUUCCAGUAGCAUGUCGACAUUUUUCUUUUGAAACACGUCUUUAAAAUUCUUAUAUUGCUCCGAUAUACUUGCUGUCGAGAUCUUCUUCCCAGUAGUUGGAGCCGCAUAAAUGACAAACGGUGUGCCUUCCUUGGACAAUCUUAUAAAUGCUCUUGCUCCAAUAAAUAAAGAUUUCUCUAUUCGGGGUUUUCUACUAAGCUUGCUCUUGGGUGGUUUUGUAGGAAAGGUCAUCUUCCGCAACUUCCAAUCUAUAGAUGGAUUAUCCUUUUUCAACCAGGAAAGACCAAAAAUAAUAGAAUUUGAUGGGGUUCUAAUAAUAUUGAAAAUAAUAUGACUACUAUGGCCCUUAAACGUCACUUCUAUAGGUUCUGAUUCAUGGGUGACACUACCAGACAAUAAAGGUCGCCCAUCUAUGACCUCAACUUGAACAGGUUUGGAUUUUUAUACUAAAGGGAUCUUAUGAUGCUUCACAAAUUCUUUGUCUAAGAAACAAGCAGAUGCUCCUGAAUCUAAUAAUGCUAAGGUUCUCAGUUUUUGAGGGCUAAUAAACAAAGGGAUUGUAAAACAAAAGGCAGGUUGAGCGAAAAGAAAGGAACCUGGUUGUUGUUGCGAUAUUUCACUGUCUAGCCGCACGAUUCCUAUUGUGGCUGGGUAUCCUCAUUUUCCUGAAUAAACGCGCUCCUAGUCUUGAUAAUACGUCGAUUUUGCUUCUUGGGAUAGUUUCCAAAUUUGUAGCCUUCUUCACCACAAUACAAGCAUAGACCUUCCUCCAUACGCCACUUUUUUUCUUUGAGAGUAAGGGAUUUGACACGUACCGCAUCAAUUUGUAUGUCUUCUACCUCUGAAUAUAAAUUCACGUUGCUUGCCGACAUAGUUGGUGCAUGAAAAACCGUACGUUUUCUUGAACGUUGGUCUUGACAGCAUUAGAAUAGGCGGUUAUUGUACUUCACAACUUGACUAAUAGCUUUGUUGAGCGUUUGCGGAUCAGGAAGAGUUAACAACAAAUCCUUCAUAUCGUCCCUUAAACCCCAAUAGAAUUGACUCAUCAACGCUUCUUUGUCCCAAUUGAUGUCGCAUGCUAAUUGCCUGAAGUCCAAUGCAUAGACUGAUGUAGAGCACAUUCCUUAUCAUAGUGACCGGAUCUUUGUUCUAGUCCAUCAAACCUUGUCGUGUUCACCAAAUGCUUCCACAAAUGCCUCCAAAAAGGUUUCAAAGUUGUUUAGUAUGGACGAUCGUUUCUCAAACAAAGGAACAAACCAUGAUAGAGCUUGUCCUGUAAGUAAGGUUCCAACAAGCCCAACACGUGACUCCUCCGUUAGAUAGCGUUCGGGAUGUAAAACUGUUAUCAACCUGAUUUGGUUGACGAAUCCUCGAAACUUGGAAUGCGUACCAUCGAACUUGUCUGGAAGGCUAACUCAAGGCUCCUUAUGUUAUAGAACCAGCGGUACUUGUCGAACCUGAGGCAAAGUUGCUUCUCCAAGUGUAGAAGUUUGAGGCUGGUGCAACCUAGAUUGUGCCACCCCAGAUGCUCCAUCAUUAUGAAGCUUUGCCACGACUCCUUCAAUCUCUGCAGUUCUUUGUGAUAACAUAGCGAGGGCAUUCAUGAUAGCAUUCAACUUAGACUCCAAACUUUCUGUCAUACUAAUGUCUUGGCCCUCGGCCAUUCUAAGAGAAAGACAGAAAUGACUCUACAAGAAGACAAUAUUGGUUUAGAGGAGGGUACUCCGCAACCUCUAAAAUGCCUUAAGAACUUCAAAAAAAUGAGUAAUCCACUCUCUCCAAGAAAAAUAAGACUCUAAUAUUGUAACAAAAGAAGUAUCAGUUUAGAGGAGGGUAAUCCGCAACCUCUAAAAUGCUAGUACACUUCCAAGCAAAGGGAUAAUCUACACUCUAACAAAGAAGAAACUAGCUCUGAUAUGUGAGAUGAGUGAAGUUUCGACAAACUGUCACGAACACAAAAAUACAGACUCGAGAUCUAACAAGAAGUUCAAGAAGAACUGGCGAGAACUAGAUUAAUUAGAUGAGAACAACACCUGAGAGGUGAGCUAGAGCUCCAAGAGCUGUGUUGUCGAGACUGAAGAACUCUUCAGCCUCGAUUCCAAUAUAUACUCCUAUUUAGGAAGCUUUUCAAGCAACUUCUAUCAACUAGGAAGCUUCUCAAGCAACUUCUAUCAACUAAGAAGCUUCUAGAAGGUUCUAGAGACUUACUUCUAGAAGGUUCUAGAAACUUAUCUCUAGAAGGUUCUAAGGACUAUGUCCCUAAUAUCUUCUACCAACUAAGAAGCUUCUAGAAGGUUCCAGAGACUUGCUUCUAGAAGGUUCUAGAAACUUGUCUCUAGAAGGUGCUAAUGAUUAUGUCCCUAAUAGCUAUAGGCCAGGAUGACUCAAAUGGACAUAGAUUUGUAGUGCAAUUUGGAGCUAAAAUUUUAAGUACUCGCAAACGUGCAUAUUCACAGGUGAAAAGGAAACUAUGGAAAGUUAUUUCAGCUAUGAAAGCUUAAAAGAAUUAUUUGAUUGGAACUAUGGAGGUAAUUAAAAUAGAUUAUUUGCCUUUACUCGGAAUGAUAAUCAAUUGUACAACACCAGAUAUUACGAUGUUGAGAUGGAUUACUUAUAUCAAAUCAUUAAAUCUAAAAUUUAGAGAUGUUGUGAGGAAAGACAAUUCGAUAGUAUAUAUGUUAUCUCGAGUAAUAUAUGAAAGAAAAGAUGAGAUGGUUGAAGAUAUUGAUGAUAUUGGAAUAAAAUUCUAUUUUGUAUCAAAUCUUAAUAAAAAAGAGAAGAUGUUUUUGAAGAGCUUUAUGAAAAAAAAUUACUAGAAAUUGGUCUUUAUUUGAAUACCUUGACUAAAUAAGACAAUUGUUCAAUAAAAAAAUUUAAUCAAAUAAAAAAGAAGGCUUAUGGAUUUUUGCUUCAAAAAGGGUUUUUAUGGAAGAGACCAAAGAAAGGAAUUGGAAUGCCAAGACGAGUAGUAGGUACUAAAGAAGAUCAACAAAGACUACUCAAAGAAUUUUAUGAGAAUCUAUGGAUGGGACAUAGAGGAAUUUGGGCUACUUUUGCUAAAAUGAAGGAAUGAUAUUGGUGGAAGAAUAUGUAUCGAGAUAUAACUUUGUUUGUAGAGUCUUAUGUAACUUAUCAAAUGUAUUCAAAUAUAUAACAUUGAGAUGGGUUGCAUUUCACAUAUCCUUUGGCUAGUCAUUUUAAAUGGAUUGUGGAUUUGGUUAUUAUGUCGAUGGAAUUAUGGCAAAUGAGAUAUUUAAUUUUGGCUUGUGAAGAUUUAUCAAACCAAAUAGAAGGCAUGGCACUAAGAACAAAAUCCACAAGGAAAUUUGCAGGUUUUUACUUGAGAAAGUUAUUUGUAGCUAUGGAUGUGUGAAAAGGAUCACUGCAGAUCGAGGAGAAUUGGAUGCACAUGAAGCUCAUGAUUUUUUUUAGAGAUGUGAGAUCAAAUUAUCAUUGACUACUUCCUAUAAUCCAGAGGGGAAUGCAAAGAAUGAACGUGGGCAUCCACCAAUUGUAAAAGCCUUAGUUAAAGCUUGUAAUGGAAGAAUGAGAGAAUGGCCUCGACUUCAAUCUUAAGCAUUAUGGGUUGAUCAAAUAACACUUAGUUCAGUGACAGGAUAUAUACCAGUGGAACUUAUGACAGGUCAAAAACCAAUUAUGUCGGUUGAAGAAAAUGUACCAACUUAGAAUAUGCUACCAUGGAAAGAUGGAUUGACAAGAGAGGAAUUGUUAGCCAUUAGAAUUUGGCAACUUGAACAAAGAUCAUAAGAUAUAGGAUUAGCAUUAAAAAGGUUACAAAAGACAAGGUUGGGAAAUAAGACUCGAUUUGACAUGCAACAUCAAUUGAAACCUAGAGCAAUUGAAGAAUGUGAUUGGAUACUUGUUUAUGAUAGCAAUUUGGAUAACCAACAUAGUACUUUGCAAAAGUUUUCGAAAUAUUGGUUUAGACCAUAUGUGAUAGUAAUGGUUCAUGAUAAUGCCACAUAUUCAUUAAGGGAGUUAGAUGGUACGAGGUUGAAAAUAUCUAUUGUUGGAAAGUGAGUGAAGAUUUUUAAAAGACAAGAUAGAGAAAUCAAUAUGGAGGAUCAUGCUGAAGAUAUUGGUAUUUUUAAAGAAGAUAAUUAUUUUGAAGAAGAUGAUAAAAAUAGAAAUGAAGGAUUUGAUGAAGAAAAUGAAGAGAUAGUGUGAUGUUAAUUAUGACAUAUGGUUCAUUUGGCACAUGUCAAAGGAUGCACAGAGUAAGAAGGGGUGGAUGUCAUGAUGUAAUACGACUAUAUAGUGAAAUUAUAAUCAAAAUUGAAUUUCUAAUUAAUAUCUAAUUAUCUUAGUUUAAUUAUAAUUUGAGGUAUCUAAACAUGGUUUUUAUAAAAGUCUCUUAAGUUAAUUCCUUAUCUUAAUAGUUAGUAGAUUGAAGGUUAGUUAAUAAUUUUUCCUUCUAGGUUGUAGAGACUCUUCUACUACCUUAGAAAGACCAUAAAUUAAUGAAAUCAGAUUAAAAGAGGUAAAUAAUUAGUAUAGUUGGUACUAAGAUUAAGUUGAGAGUAGGAUUGGACUUAAAAAUCCUUAGGAUAGGAUAGAUUGAUACCUCGGGGUCGACCUUUUAUGAGACAGGGUCAAAAUCAAAUCUUUAGCCACUAAAAUGAUGGCUUAGGGUAAAAUAGGAUUUCAUUCAAAGAUCAGAGGUUAGGAUUUGAGAGUUGGCUUGAAUUUCUUUUCAAAGACAUAAGAAUUGUUUUGAGAGGCUUUUAGAGAAUUUAGAAAUUGUUAUUCAAAGUCAGGGUUUGUAUCAAUGAUUUGGAUUUUAUAUAAUGUAAUUAGGGCUAGCAAUUUUAGCUAGUACGUGCAAUUGGCAUAACAUCUAUAGUUGAAAAUUUGUUAUUUUUUGGAUUAUUAAGUGUGCUAAGUGUAUACAAAAUUUUGUGAUAAUCUAACGGUGUGGUUUAGAGAUAUCUAGUUUUCAGCACAAGAGGGUUUUAGAAGGUGGAAGUUUGACAUUGGAUAGGAUUUCUAUGAUAUCUAAAGAUCUAUUAGUCAGAUUAAGGUGAAAAUUGGCAUGGUGUUGGAGGACUUAAAGAUCAAGCUACUCACCAAUUUUGAGA